GACGAACGCUGGCGGCGUGCUUAACACAUGCAAGUCGAACGGAAAGGCCCUGCUUUUGUGGGGUGCUCGAGUGGCGAACGGGUGAGUAACACGUGAGUAACCUGCCCUUGACUUUGGGAUAACUACAGGAAACUGGGGCUAAUACCGGAUAGGAGCUCCUGCUGCAUGGUGGGGGUUGGAAAGUUUCGGCGGUUGGGGAUGGACUCGCGGCUUAUCAGCUUGUUGGUGGGGUAGUGGCUUACCAAGGCUUUGACGGGUAGCCGGCCUGAGAGGGUGACCGGCCACAUUGGGACUGAGAUACGGCCCAGACUCCUACGGGAGGCAGCAGUGGGGAAUAUUGCACAAUGGGCGAAAGCCUGAUGCAGCAACGCCGCGUGCGGGAUGACGGCCUUCGGGUUGUAAACCGCUUUCGCCUGUGACGAAGCGUGAGUGACGGUAAUGGGUAAAGAAGCACCGGCUAACUACGUGC
rnacentral:rRNA from 1 species